rnacentral:rRNA from 1 species
CCAGACUCCUACGGGAGGCAGCAGUGAGGAAUAUUGGUCAAUGGUCGGGAGACUGAACCAGCCAAGCCGCGUGAGGGAUGAAGGUACAGAGUAUCGUAAACCUCUUUUGUCAGGGAACAAAGGCGGGGACGUGUCCCCGGAUGAGUGUACCUGAAGAAAAAGCAUCGGCUAACUCCGUGCCAGCAGCCGCGGUAAUACGGAGGAUGCGAGCGUUAUCCGGAUUUAUUGGGUUUAAAGGGUGCGUAGGCGGACGCUUAAGUCAGCGGUAAAAUUGCGGGGCUCAACCUCGUCGAGCCGUUGAAACUGGGUGCCUUGAGUGGGCGAGAAGUACGCGGAAUGCGUGGUGUAGCGGUGAAAUGCAUAGAUAUCACGCAGAACUCCGAUUGCGAAGGCAGCGUACCGGCGCCCAACUGACGCUGAAGCACGAAGGCGUGGGUAUCGAACAGGAUUAGAUACCCGCGUA